AGUGAACGCUGGCGGUAGGCCUAACACAUGCAAGUCGAACGGCAGCACAGUAAGAGCUUGCUCUUACGGGUGGCGAGUGGCGGACGGGUGAGGAAUACAUCGGAAUCUACUUUUUCGUGGGGGAUAACGUAGGGAAACUUACGCUAAUACCGCAUACGACCUACGGGUGAAAGCAGGGGAUCUUCGGACCUUGCGCGAAUGAAUGAGCCGAUGUCGGAUUAGCUAGUUGGCGGGGUAAAGGCCCACCAAGGCGACGAUCCGUAGCUGGUCUGAGAGGAUGAUCAGCCACACUGGAACUGAGACACGGUCCAGACUCCUACGGGAGGCAGCAGUGGGGAAUAUUGGACAAUGGGCGCAAGCCUGAUCCAGCCAUGCCGCGUGGGUGAAGAAGGCCUUCGGGUUGUAAAGCCCUUUUGUUGGGAAAGAAAAGCAGCAGGUUAAUACCCCGCUGUUCUGACGGUACCCAAAGAAUAAGCACCGGCUAACUUCGUG
rnacentral:rRNA from 1 species